AUUCAAUCAGAGAGUCAUCUAAACCCAAAUAAAGGACUAUUACGCACCUUCAGAGCUAUAGACGUUAUGAUAAAAGUCACACGGACUCUUUGCCUUCAGUCAAAUCACAAGGUAACUAGCAGAUAUUUUUCUGAUAUCAUCGUUCUCAUCAAUGGUGAAUUUCUGCUUUUAUUUCAAAAUAGCAAUACAUCACCCUUCCCGUCGAAGUGAUCUCAUCUGUAACUGAG